AUAACGGUCCUAAGGUAGCGAAAUUCCUUGUCGGGUAAGUUCCGACCCGCACGAAAGGCGUAACGAUUUGGGCACUGUCUCAACAAUAGACUCGGUGAAAUUGUAAUCCCGGUGAAGAUGCCGGGUACCUGCGACAGGACGGAAAGACCCCAUGGAGCUUUACUGUAGCUUGACGUUGGGUCUUGGUACUACAUGUACAGGAUAGGUGGGAGACUAUGAAGCAUGGACGCCAGUCUGUGUGGAGUCAUCCUUGGGAUACCACCCUUGUAGUACUGGGAUCCUAACCAUAGGCCUUGAAUCAGGUCUUGGAACACCGUCAGGUGGGCAGUUUGACUGGGGCGGUCGCCUCCUAAAAAGUAACGGAGGCGCUCAAAGGUUUCCUCAGCACGGUCGGAAAUCGUGCGAAGAGUGUAAAGGCAAAAGGAAGCUUGAUUGCAAGACAUACAGGUCGAGCAAGGACGAAAGUCGGACUUAGUGAUCCGGUGGUACCGCAUGGAAGGGCCAUCGCUCAACGGAUAAAAGCUACCCUGGGGAUAACAGGCUUAUCUCCCCCAAGAGUCCACAUCGACGGGGAGGUUUGGCACCUCGAUGUCGGCUCAUCACAUCCUGGGGCUGUAGUAGGUCCCAAGGGUUGGGCUGUUCGCCCAUUAAAGUGGUACGCGAGCUGGGUUCAGAACGUCGUGAGACAGUUCGGUCCCUAUCCGUCGCAGGCGUAGGAAAUUUGAGAAGACCUGUCCUUAGUACGAGAGGACCGGGAUGGACGUACCUCUGGUGUACCAGUUGUUCUGCCAAGGGCAUGGCUGGGUAGCUAUGUACGGAAUGGAUAAGCGCUGAAAGCAUCUAAGCGCGAAGCCAACUUCAAGAUAAGAUUUCCCACCGUAAGGGUAAGACCCCAGGAAGACUACCUGGUUGAUAGGUCGAAGGUGUAAGUGCAGUAAUGUAUUUAGCUUAUCGAUACUAAUAGGUCGAGGACUUGACCUG
rnacentral:rRNA from 1 species